rnacentral:rRNA from 1 species
GAUAAACGCUAGCGGCAGGCUUAACACAUGCAAGCCGAGGGGCAGCAUAGAUUGUAGCAAUACAAUUGGUGGCGACCGGCGCACGGGUGCGUAACGCGUAUGCAACCUACCCGUCACAGGGGGAUAAUCCGGAGAAAUCUGGUCUAAUACCCCAUAACAUAUGGAUCGGCAUCGGUUCAUGUUGAAAUUUUCGGAGGUGACGGAUGGGCAUGCGUAGCAUUAGCUUGUUGGUGAGAUAACGGCUCACCAAGGCGACGAUGCUUAGGGGGACUGAGAGGUUUUCCCCCCACACUGGUACUGAGACACGGACCAGACUCCUACGGGAGGCAGCAGUGAGGAAUAUUGGUCAAUGGGCGCAAGCCUGAACCAGCCAUGCCGCGUGCAGGAUGACGGCUCUAUGAGUUGUAAACUGCUUUUAUACGAGGGUAAAGUGGGUUACGUGUAACCUUUUGAAAGUAUCGUACGAAUAAGGAUCGGCUAACUCCGUGCCAGCCGCCGCCGUAA